UGCGGGGUAGAGCAGUUUGGAAAGCUCAUCGGGCGAUGACCCCGAAGACAAGCGGUUCGAAUCCGCUACCCGCAG
rnacentral:tRNA from 1 species